AUGACGCACAUUGUCGAUGAAUGCCUGCUGACUAGGUUCAGCGGUGGUCUAGAAAAACAGCAUCACACCACUGAAGAUGCUAUUGCUUGGCUAGACGACUGUGCCUGUGCUAGAUAUACAGGUGCUGCGCUGGGGGACUCGGUCCAGUCCAGGGAACCCCACCUCUCUGGGAGAGAAGGAGACGCUGUGAUCCUCACUUGUUCUUAUGAUACCAGCUCUACCGGCUACGUCUAUCUCUACUGGUACUGUCAGUUUCCCGGCCAAGCCCCGCAAUACAUUCUCUAUAGAGGAGCGAAGUCCGCCAGAGAGUUGAGUGACACCGCAGGUUUCGCCCAGGAGAGGUUUUCUUCCCAGGCUGAUGACAGCUCCACAGUUCUGAACAUCACAUCCCUGGAGCUGGCGGACAGCGCGGUGUAUCUCUGCGCUCUGAGUGUGACACAGUGA